AGGAUGGUAUGCUGCUGGAAGAUACAGAUCAGAAGCAGUCAUCUUCUGUGGGCUGGAAAGUGUCAGAGUUGUUAUCUUUCACAAAUAUCAGAAAUGAGCAGCAAAAUUACCUUUCACUUCUGGAGCAAACACACGUCUCUCUCUUCCAUACCAUACAGUCAGCAGUAAGAUCUAAUGACUGGGAUGCUGCAGCACGUAGCAAAUGCGGCUUUCUUUGUAAGAAGUCUAUUAGUAGUAGUUAUUCACAAAUAGGUAUUGCGAAGGAAAAUGCUGAGUCAUUAAGAAUAGGAGUGAGAAUUGCAGACAGCUCCAUAUCUGAAGAUGUCAAACAGCUGUCUGAAUCAAAGCCAGAAGUAUCUGUUUCUGGAGGACACAAAAAAUUCUAUGCUAGUGACUCGCUGCGAAAACAUAUUCUCCCUUACGUGUUUUUGAUCAAAAAUUGCCUUUCUAUGCCACUUUCUUUGAUCCAAGACAAAUGUUUCAGUGGAGAGAUAUUAAGCAAAAUACAGUAUUUAAGGAAAGAGAAGAGGAUCACAGCAACAUCAGAGACUCCUGUUUCCAAAUUAGAUGCUUCUGAAGGUGCAUCAGUUUGAAGCUGAAGACUGUCAGAGCAUCCACUUCUUUCUGGCCCUCAAAAAGCAGACAAGUGUUCAAGCUAGUAUGAGUUGGUUCUUCUGUUUUAUCUGUUGAGAUGUUCCUCAUUGGCCAGCAGUGACAAAAUUGAUGCCUAGAUGGCCAAGGACACUUUAAUGUGGAAAAGGAUGAAACUAACUUUUUUGUUCAGUUCAAACAAGAGAUGCAAUCUCGGCAGCGUUAUUUUGAGCGUGUCUUCACUAAUCUGUCAGCAACUCACAACUACAAGAGCGUGCAGCUCCUAAGUGCUGACAUCUAGUCAUUUUUGCCUAGUGAAUGUGGCUGGCAACAUGGGUAACAAACAGUGAUGAUGAUAUGUGAAAUAUUUUUCCUCUUGACUUGGUAAUCUUUAAGAAUCCCUCUAUGCAUAUAAGUGGAAGCAGGACAAGACUUACGCAUGUUAGGUUUUGCUUAAAAGCAACAACAAAACCAAACAAUAUAGGCAGUGAUCAGUUGAUCAUUUGGGUCCUGGAACUCAGCUUAAAUUACAGCAUGCAGAUGUCAGUGUUCAUGCCUUGUUGCAGUGUACUCCUACUUAUUUUAGAGAAAAGGUUGUAUAACAUGUAUGUUAACAUAAUACAUACUUAUUGCCAGUGCCAGAAGUACCAUAUGUUGUCUUCCGUAACCUGAGGGAAUUGCAAUGGAAGCUGUAUAAAGGCAUUGUGAAGAGGAGGGAGUCUAGCCGAAUUUUUUGGAGAGAAGCAAAUUAUGGAACUUUUACAAUACCGGAUGGAACAGCUGUAAAGACAUACUACAACCUCCCUUUGAUUUUUAAAGAUUCAGUAACUUUGUCAGUUUAUCCUGCAUAUCCUGUUCUACAUCUUGAAUUUAAAAGGAAAUAAAUAACUGCAGCUCAGAAGAGGAAGCAAAUAAAACUGCAAGUGCCUUAGGCAAUUAAAAAAAUUAUCAUU
ensembl:lncRNA